GUUGGUGAUAUAUCGCUAGGGGCACACCUUUAUUCCAUUCCGAACAAAGAAGUUAAGCCUAGUGGAGCCGAUGAUAGUCUUCGGGCGAAAGUAGGCGGUCGCCAGCA
rnacentral:rRNA from 1 species